GACAGAGGGUGCAAACGUUGUUCGGAAUUACUGGGCAUAAAGCGCACGUAGGUGGUCCGCUAAGUCGAGUGUGAAAUCCCCCGGCUCAACCGGGGAAUUGCGCUCGAUACUGGCGGGCUAGAGGUCGAUAGGGGUGAGCGGAACUCCAGGUGGAGCGGUGAAAUGCGUAGAUAUCUGGAGGAACACCGGUGGCGAAAGCGGCUCACUGGAUCGAAUCUGACACUGAGGUGCGAAAGCUAGGGUAGCAAAC
rnacentral:rRNA from 1 species